UUUUGGUACUAGGGAUUGAAUCUAGGACCUCAUGCAUACUAGGUAGUUACCCCACUUGCUGAGCCACACCCCCAGCCCCUCACGGGGGAUUCUAGGCAGGGGCUCUACCAUUGAGCCACACCCCA
rnacentral:sRNA from 1 species